GAGUUCCUCCCCAGCUUCUGGCUCCUAGGGUCAAGGCGAUUUCAGGCUUGGAAAGGGACUUCCGUCGCAAAUCUUUCUGUUUUUGCUAAAGCUGCGGUCGCAAGGCCUAGUGAUCGCCUGAAACGUCGUUUUAAAGGGGCGUUGCAUGGAAUGUUCGGCCAUCCCUGCUGAAAGUUUUUACCUCUUUCUCCAGUUCUCCACCCUGCACUGUGUACUCCGAGGCCGGUCUCCCAGAUUGGCCUUCUCUAUUUCGGCCACCCUGGGCGGUCCGUGACUUGGCGUCUUCUGCCCUCGCCUCCUCAUUCGGGUUCCCCUAGGGGUCUCUCCCGGGCAGGCUGCCUGCCCCGGGCCCCAGCCCUGCCGUUGGGUGGGUAUCCUGAGCUCACUGGAACCCCGGGCGCCUUUUCUUCAGCCUUUCCCAGUGCGUCCCACUGGCUCACGGUAGACUGGUUUCCACGUGUCAUUGACUACAAAGUGGCCCUGCCAGUGCUUUUUGAGAUAAAAAUUAUCCAGAAAAAAAAAAGUUCCUGAGCAAAUUACCACUUGUUAACUAAAUGCACAACAUAGUGUGGGACUAUGUUCAGAUGAAAAUCAAAGAUACAGAGAGCUUUUAUUUUUAAUCCAUGAGGAAACAUUAAAAAUAUAUCAGCCUGUGGAGACCGAAGUUACAUUUGAAGAGUAAUGACCUAAAAUGCUCACAUUUAAAGAUGAAAUUGAGACCGUGGGAAACUAUUUGCAAUGAAAAAGAUUAAGGGGAAAGGGAAGAUUAAAAAUUAGGAUUUUGUGAAGUUCUUGUUAAUUUUUUAAAAUUAGCGGAGUGCAUCAUGAUUGAGACUUUGAACACCAAAUUCCAUUCCAAAGUAUUGCCAAAACAGUAUUUUUCUAAAAACAAGUUUUUGAUUGUAUAAAUAAUAGAGCUCUCUGUAGGA
rnacentral:lncRNA from 1 species